GACGGUUCCUCUUCGGAGGCACCUGCACAGGUGCUGCAUGGCUGUCGUCAGCUCGUGUCGUGAGAUGUUGGUUAAGUCCCGCAACGAGCGCAACCCUUAUCCCUAGUUGCCAUCAGGUAAAGCUGGGAACUCUGGGGAGACUGCCGGUGAUAAACCGGAGGAAGGCGGGGAUGACGUCAAGUCCUCAUGGCCCUUACAUCCCGGGCUACACACGUGCUACAAUGGCAGGUACAGAGGGCUGCGAAGCCGCGAGGUGGAGCGAAUCCCAGAAAACCUGUCUCAGUCCGGAUUGAAGUCUGCAACUCGACUUCAUGAAGGCGGAAUCGCUAGUAACCGCGAAUCAGCAGGUCGCGGUGAAUACGUUCCCGGGCCUU
rnacentral:rRNA from 1 species